rnacentral:rRNA from 1 species
GAUGAACGCUGGCGGCGUGCCUAAUACAUGCAAGUCGAGCGAACGGACGAGAAGCUUGAUUCUCUGAUGUUAGCGGCGGACGGGUGAGUAACACGUGGAUAACCUACCUAUAAGACUGGGAUAACUUCGGGAAACCGGAGCUAAAACCGGAUGAUACUUUGAACCGCAUGGUUCAAAAGUGAAAGACGGUCUUGCUGUCACUUAUAGAUGGAUCCGCGCUGCAUUAGCUAGUUGGUAAGGUAACGGCUUACCAAGGCAACGAUGCAUAGCCGACCUGAGAGAUUGAUCGGCCACACUGGAACUGAAACACGGUCCAGACUCCUACGGGAGGCAGCAGUAGGGAAUCUGCCGCAAUGGGCGAAAGCCUUACGGAGCAACGCCGCGUGAGUGAUGAAGGUCUUCGGAUCGUAAAACUCUGUUAUUAGGGAAGAACAUAUGUGUAAGUAACUGUGCACAUCUUGACGGUACCUAAUCAAAAAGCCACGGCUAACUACGUG